rnacentral:rRNA from 1 species
CCUACGGGGGGCUGCAGUGAGGAAUAUUGGUCAAUGGGCGCAAGCCUGAACCAGCCAUCCCGCGUGCAGGAAGACGGCCCUAUGGGUUGUAAACUGCUUUUCCAGGGGACGAAUAGUUUCUACGUGUAGAGACCUGACGGUACCUUGGGAAUAAGCAUCGGCUAACUCCGUGCCAGCAGCCGCGGUAAUACGGAGGAUGCAGGCUUUAUCCGGAUUCAUUGGGUCUAAGGCGGAUUAAUACGGCUGAAUAGAAAUCCUACAGCUUAACUGUAGAACUGCCAUUGAUACUGUUAGUCUUGAGUUUGGUUAAGGUAGGCGGAAUGUGUAAUGUAGCGGUGAAAUGCUUAGAUAUUACACAGAACACCAAUUGCGAAGGCAGCUUACUGGACCGACACUGACGCUGAGGCACGAAAGCGUGGGGAUCGAACAGGAUUAGAUACCCCAGUAGUC